UACAGAGGGGGCAAGCGUUGUUCGGAAUUACUGGGCGUAAAGGGCGCGUAGGCGGCCUUCUAAGUCGAACGUGAAAUCCCCGGGCUCAACCCGGGAACUGCGUCCGAUACUGGAAGGCUUGAAUCCGGGAGAGGGAUGUGGAAUUCCAGGUGUAGCGGUGAAAUGCGUAGAUAUCUGGAGGAACACCGGUGGCGAAGGCGGCAUCCUGGACCGGUAUUGACGCUGAGGCGCGAAAGCGUGGGGAGCAAACAGGG
rnacentral:rRNA from 1 species